GUGGGUUGCCUUCCAUAAGCAUGAGAGCAUAGAGGAGUAUUUCCUCCUCUUUGGUGAAAGUUCAACCUUGGCACUAAAUUGUUUUGGAGAGAAAAAUCCAGAUUAGAUCUAGGUCAUUCCCUAUUAUUCCGCCAUCCUCUAGCAAUCUUUGUUGAUCCAUCUUCAACCUCAAAAGGGCCCUAGGUGAUUAGAGAAGGAGAUCCAUCC
rnacentral:lncRNA from 1 species